AGAGUGUUUGUAAUAAACCACCUUGUCUGCAUGCCAAGAGAUUGCCACAGAGAGAAACAAAUUGCUGCUGAUGACAGAGGAAAAGAGUCUUCAGAAAGUCCCUUUCAGAAAGCUUUUGAUGAGAUGAUGCGAGAGACUUGGCAGUCUUACGUUGGAAGCAAGAUAAUUGAUUUGAGUUUGUUAUGACACUGCAACUUGUUACAACAAGCAGUCUGUCCUCUGCAAGAGCAGAGCAAGAGGAGAGCAGGUCUGUGCACUUCUGCUGGGGUGGAAAUUCUCUGGCUUUCAGUGUUUGCACAGUGAAUUCAAUGUCAACACAUGUACAGACAGCAGAUCUCGGAGGAGUCAGAGUUUCAGGAAAGAAGGAUCCAGUGAUUUUUAUUGUUAAAACAAGCCCUGCUUCUAACUCUGCUGGAAUGCAGCUGCACACUAUGUACUGGAAAUCUGGAUGCCAGGGAAGUGUUAAUCCCUGCAGUCAAGGAAUACCAGACAUGGAUAGGCACAUUCCCAGAAGAGUUACAUUCCAAGGUUUACACUUCCAGUGAAAUUCUGUCUGAGAAGUGCUGGAAAAAGAAAGAUACAGCGUGGGCAGGAAGAGAGAGAGAGACACCACGUCUUCUUGAGAGACACCAUGACUUACCAACUCUGUGUCAAAGCUUUUCUUUCAGCUAAAGAGUCAGCAGCAGAAGAGGAGCAGUGAAUUCCAACAUGCAAAACAGCAACAUGUACAAGGUACUGUUAAAGGCCCUGAAAAUUAGUAUUCACACCUCAGGUGAGUAGAAAUAAUAGAAGAAAUAAGAAGUUUUUUCAGUUGAGUAGACAUUAACACAGCCCUAACUGCAAGAAAAAGGCAGUCCACAUGUAUUUAAUGUUAACAUUAAUAUAUCUGAGGAUAAUUCUUAUCUAAUGAACACCCAGAUUCUUUCCUUGGUUAGUGUUUAAGUAGUCUAACUUUCUUUUAGGAUGUUGAGUAUCUUUUCUUGUUCAGUGGAGUCAGUAGUACCUUUGCUUCUUGGAAAUUUGUGUGCUCUUAGGGUUUCCAUCUUUAGUGUCCUCUGUGCAUUUUAAUUGUUCCAAUAAUCUCUGGUUAAAAAAAAAGGUUUUUCUAAAAUGCUGACA